rnacentral:lncRNA from 1 species
CAACUGUAGUUUUUCUUCAUAUAAUUCAUAUAAUAACAUAUAAUUGAAUGAACUUAAUGCAUAAUUACAUAUUAAAUAAUUUAGGCCAUAAAGUAUUUCUUUCCUACAAAAGAAGAUCUCAAUUUCAAUCAGUGGCAUGUGGAGUUAUCUUGUUAUUGUUAUUGAUGGAUUAAAAUUAAUGGGUGUAUCUCUAAACCUUAGUGACCUAGUCACUCACCUGAAAGGACCACAGUGCUUCCACUAUUGGCCAUUGGUCAUGGAACAUUUUCCUUGCCUGGCAUCUUCUUUUCCUUUGCAAUUUAAAUCCCUUUGCCUCAAAGGAUUUUUGCCAGACACUGACUGACCUGUCCUCAAGCUUAAUGAAAAUCAUUCUUGCUGGAUUCUCUGUAUUUUCCUUAAUGGCGUUGGUAGUCAUAUAUGUAUUUGUUUAGCACAAUAUCUGAAACAUAUUAGACACUCAAUGAAGACAGGAAUAUAUAGAAUAUAAAUUCCUUUAGUUUCCACCAUUACAAAGUUUUUAAAAUGUCAAAUUCCAAAGAAGCCAUAGAUAUUUCUGUAUCUUAUGAUUCAUGAAGCUAUUAUAAAUACUGCAACAAAAACAUACAUGUCUUGACAAAACUCAGUUUUCCUUAUUCCUUUCCACUCAUAUUCUUGGGGAGACAAGAGUUCUUGGGCACAUCCCUGACUUUAUCAUGACUCCAUAGCAGUUCUUCCUCAUUUUGAUCUUUCCACAGAUUUUACCUUACAACAGAAGUGAAGAAAGAAUGAGAGAAAGCAAUUAAUAUAUCCAGGCUCUGCUCCAGGGUGUAGGUAAAGGUUAAAUGUCUUUUUUAUUUUUAUCAUUACAACACACUUUAUGACUGCAAUAAAGAUGUGAGUGGUUUCUUCAAAGAUAAACAUCUGAAAGAGAGAGGCGG